rnacentral:lncRNA from 1 species
GAGAGACAAUCCUAAUCACACAAGUCCUUAAAAGCUGAGAACUUCCUCCUGCUGGGGACAGGACAGAUGAGGCAGAAGGGGAGGUUAGGGAGGUUUGAAGAGUGAGAAGAACUUCUGCAGUGGCUGACUUGGAAGAUGAAGGAGGUUAUGAACCAGGGAAUGGGGGCAGCCUCUAGAGGCUGAGAACCUGCUGACACCUACCCACAACCACUAAGGAAAUGAAGACUUUAAUUCCACAACUGCAUGCAACUAAACUCAGCCAACAACCUGAAUAAGUCUGAAAAAGGCUUCUCCAGAGCCUCCAGAUAAGAGGCCAGGCUGGCGACACACCUUGAUUUUGACCUUGUGAGACCUAGAGCAGAGAAACUAGCCAAGAUCACUCAGACUUCUGAUCUACAGAACUGUGAGACCGUAAAUUUAUGUUGUAUUAAGCCACUAAUUGUGUGGGAAUUUGUUACAGGAGCAAUAGAAAAUGAAUACACCGUCUGAUGUAGUUUAAUCAGUUGACAUUAGACUCCUCCCGUUUGUAAUAUGGAGAUUUAUUUACAAUGGCGAGAGCUGCUAUGGGGCUAUCCAUAAUAACACAGAAGUCUUGGCCGACAAACACCAGAAGGAGCUGUCUGGAAGGGGUGACACCAAGAUGUGCUACACUGAACCCAACUUCUGCAUGUUUAAGACAAGACGCAAGGUCAAAAAUUUACAUCAGGUAUCUGAAUGUGUAGCAUAUACAACUGAGUGUUGAAAGAAGACAAAAUCGUUUUCAUCACGAAGAAUAUGUGCUCAGUAAGAAUCAGAAUGUUCAAUUGUGUGAAGGUGGGAGAUGGGAAGAUUGGUAUUAUGGCCUGGAUCCAGAAAUCAGUCUUCCACUAUGGGAAAUGGGAAUUUAAAGAUGAUCAGAAGACAGUUGGGAGCAGAGUGAGAAUAAGAACCCUCAACUGCUGUCUCACCUUUCAGAUCACGAAGAAGUUUUUUACAAUGAGCAGAACACUCAACCUGAAAGCAGAAUGGAUUGAGUCACUGCAGCGUGGCAGUGGAAUGGUGCUUGAUGUUGGCAAAGGAAACAUGUACUUCUAGACUGGACAGUUUUCCCUCAGUUUACAGUUUCCAAAUAGAGACAUCACUUUGAAAUAACAUGGAGAACAUACGUGGAUGUACUGAACGAAGAAUAAAGUCUGUGUUGCAGUCCUGUCUCCAUUGACUUUUACAAAUAUGGCUUUGGAUGAAUCACCUAACUUUUAUUUUUGAGAAUUUACACUUACCAUGUAUAAAAUGAUAGUGCUAAUAUGUUUGCUGCCUACCCCAUUGGGUUUUGUGAGGAA